rnacentral:rRNA from 1 species
UACGUAGGGACCGAGCGUUGUCCGGAAUCAUUGGGCGUAAAGAGCUCGUAGGCGGUUCAGCAAGUCGGGUGUGAAACCUCCAGGCUCAACCUGGAGACGCCACCCGAUACUGCUGUGACUUGAGUCCGGUAGGGGACCACGGAAUUCCUGGUGUAGCGGUGAAAUGCGCAGAUAUCAGGAGGAACACCGGUGGCGAAGGCGGUGGUCUGGGCCGGAACUGACGCUGAGGAGCGAAAGCGUGGGGAGCGAACAGG